rnacentral:tRNA from 1 species
GCGCCCAUAGUUCAAUGGAUAGAACACUAGCCUCCGAAGCUAGCGAUGAAGGUUCAACCCCCUCUGGGCGUA